rnacentral:rRNA from 1 species
UACAGGGGGGUGCAAACGUUGCUCGGAAUUAUUGGGCGUAAAGCGCACGUAGGCGGUUUGUUAUGUCGGAUGUGAAAGCCCUUGGCUCAACUGAGGAAGUGCAUCCGAAACUGGCAAGCUAGAGUAUGUAAGAGGGUCGCGGAAUUUCCCGGUGUAGAGGUGAAAUUUCGUAGAUAUCGGGAGGAACACCGGUGGCGAAGGCGGCGACCUGGGACAAUACUGACGCUGAGGAGCGAAAGCGUGGGAGCAAACAGGAUGA